AUUGAACGCUGGCGGCAGGCCUAACACAUGCAAGUCGAGCGGAAGCAGGUCUCUUGCUCCUGGCUUGUGGCGCGGGGGGGUGUAUUAUACCUAGACAUCUCCCAGCUUGUGGGGUAUAGCGUCCGAAGCCGGGCUAUUAUCCCAUACGAGCCCUGAGGGAGAGCGUGGGGGAUCUUCGGCUCUCGCGCUCCCAGCUGCGCCUAGGUCGGAAUAGUUAGUUGGUGGGGUAAAGGCAUACCAAGGAGACGAUCCGUACCUGGUCUGAGAGGACGACCAGUCACACUGGAACUGAGACACGGUCCAGACUCCUACGGGAGGCAGCAGUGGGGAAUAUUGGACAAUGGGCGAAAGCCUGAUCCAGCCAUGCCGCGUGUAGGAUGAAGGUCUUCGGAUUGUAAACCACUUUUAGAUGGAAGGAAGAGAAGUAAGUUAAUACCUGGCGUUCAUGACGGUACCGAAAGAAUAAGCACCGGCUAACUACGUG
rnacentral:rRNA from 1 species